GGAAGGGGCUGUGGCUCAGUGGCAGAGCGUCUGGUUGGCAUGCGGAAAGCCCCGGGUUCAAUCCCUGGCCUCUCCG
rnacentral:tRNA from 1 species